rnacentral:rRNA from 1 species
GAUUAAGUUAUUAAGGGCGCACGGUGGAUGCCUUGGCACUAGAAGCCGAUGAAGGACGUUACUAACGACGAUAUGCUUUGGGGAGCUGUAAGUAAGCUUUGAUCCAGAGAUUUCCGAAUGGGGAAACCCAGCAUGAGUUAUGUCAUGUUAUCGAUAUGUGAAUACAUAGCAUAUCAGAAGGCACACCCGGAGAACUGAAACAUCUUAGUACCCGGAGGAAGAGAAAGAAAAUUCGAUUCCCUUAGUAGCGGCGAGCGAAACGGGAAGAGCCCAAACCAACAAGCUUGCUUGUUGGGGUUGUAGGACACUCUAUACGGAGUUACAAAGGACGACAUUAGACGAAUCAUCUGGAAAGAUGAAUCAAAGAAGGUAAUAAUCCUGUAGUCGAAAAUGUUGUCUCUCUUGAGUGGAUCCUGAGUACGACGGAGCACGUGAAAUUCCGUCGGAAUCUGGGAGGACCAUCUCCUAAGGCUAAAUACUCUCUAGUGACCGAUAGUGAACCAGUACCGUGAGGGAAAGGUGAAAAGCACCCCGGAAGGGGAGUGAAAUAGAACCUGAAACCGUGUGCUUACAAGUAGUCAGAGCCCGUUAAUGGGUGAUGGCGUGCCUUUUUGUAGAAUGAACCGGCGAGUUACGAUUUGAUGCAAGGUUAAGCAGUAAAUGUGGAGCCGUAGCGAAAGCGAGUCUGAAUAGGGCGUUUAGUAUUUGGUCGUAGACCCGAAACCAGGUGAUCUACCCUUGGUCAGGUUGAAGUUCAGGUAACACUGAAUGGAGGACCGAACCGACUUACGUUGAAAAGUGAGCGGAUGAACUGAGGGUAGCGGAGAAAUUCCAAUCGAACCUGGAGAUAGCUGGUUCUCUCCGAAAUAGCUUUAGGGCUAGCCUCAAGUGAUGAUUAUUGGAGGUAGAGCACUGUUUGGACGAGGGGCCCCUCUCGGGUUACCGAAUUCAGACAAACUCCGAAUGCCAAUUAAUUUAACUUGGGAGUCAGAACAUGGGUGAUAAGGUCCGUGUUCGAAAGGGAAACAGCCCAGACCACCAGCUAAGGUCCCAAAAUAUAUGUUAAGUGGAAAAGGAUGUGGCGUUGCCCAGACAACUAGGAUGUUGGCUUAGAAGCAGCCAUCAUUUAAAGAGUGCGUAAUAGCUCACUAGUCGAGUGACACUGCGCCGAAAAUGUACCGGGGCUAAACAUAUUACCGAAGCUGUGGAUUGUCCUUUGGACAAUGGUAGGAGAGCGUUCUAAGGGCGUUGAAGCAUGAUCGUAAGGACAUGUGGAGCGCUUAGAAGUGAGAAUGCCGGUGUGAGUAGCGAAAGACGGGUGAGAAUCCCGUCCACCGAUUGACUAAGGUUUCCAGAGGAAGGCUCGUCCGCUCUGGGUUAGUCGGGUCCUAAGCUGAGGCCGACAGGCGUAGGCGAUGGAUAACAGGUUGAUAUUCCUGUACCACCUAUAAUCGUUUUAAUCGAUGGGGGGACGCAGUAGGAUAGGCGAAGCGUGCGAUUGGAUUGCACGUCUAAGCAGUAAGGCUGAGUAUUAGGCAAAUCCGGUACUCAUUAAGGCUGAGCUGUGAUGGGGAGAAGACAUUGUGUCUUCGAGUCGUUGAUUUCACACUGCCGAGAAAAGCCUCUAGAUAGAAAAUAGGUGCCCGUACCGCAAACCGACACAGGUAGUCAAGAUGAGAAUUCUAAGGUGAGCGAGCGAACUCUCGUUAAGGAACUCGGCAAAAUGACCCCGUAACUUCGGGAGAAGGGGUGCUCUUUAGGGUUAACGCCCAGAAGAGCCGCAGUGAAUAGGCCCAAGCGACUGUUUAUCAAAAACACAGGUCUCUGCUAAACCGUAAGGUGAUGUAUAGGGGCUGACGCCUGCCCGGUGCUGGAAGGUUAAGAGGAGUGGUUAGCUUCUGCGAAGCUACGAAUCGAAGCCCCAGUAAACGGCGGCCGUAACUAUAACGGUCCUAAGGUAGCGAAAUUCCUUGUCGGGUAAGUUCCGACCCGCACGAAAGGCGUAACGAUUUGGGCACUGUCUCAACGAGAGACUCGGUGAAAUCAUAGUACCUGUGAAGAUGCAGGUUACCCGCGACAGGACGGAAAGACCCCGUGGAGCUUUACUGUAGCCUGAUAUUGAAAUUCGGCACAGCUUGUACAGGAUAGGUAGGAGCCUUUGAAACGUGAGCGCUAGCUUACGUGGAGGCGCUGGUGGGAUACUACCCUAGCUGUGUUGGCUUUCUAACCCGCACCACUUAUCGUGGUGGGAGACAGUGUCAGGCGGGCAGUUUGACUGGGGCGGUCGCCUCCUAAAAGGUAACGGAGGCGCUCAAAGGUUCCCUCAGAAUGGUUGGAAAUCAUUCAUAGAGUGUAAAGGCAUAAGGGAGCUUGACUGCGAGACCUACAAGUCGAGCAGGGUCGAAAGACGGACUUAGUGAUCCGGUGGUUCCGCAUGGAAGGGCCAUCGCUCAACGGAUAAAAGCUACCCCGGGGAUAACAGGCUUAUCUCCCCCAAGAGUUCACAUCGACGGGGAGGUUUGGCACCUCGAUGUCGGCUCAUCGCAUCCUGGGGCUGUAGUCGGUCCCAAGGGUUGGGCUGUUCGCCCAUUAAAGCGGUACGCGAGCUGGGUUCAGAACGUCGUGAGACAGUUCGGUCCCUAUCCGUCGUGGGCGUAGGAAAUUUGAGAGGAGCUGUCCUUAGUACGAGAGGACCGGGAUGGACAUACCUCUGGUGUACCAGUUGUCGUGCCAACGGCAUAGCUGGGUAGCUAUGUGUGGACGGGAUAAGUGCUGAAAGCAUCUAAGCAUGAAGCCCCCCUCAAGAUGAGAUUUCCCAACUUCGGUUAUAAGAUCCCUCAAAGAUGAUGAGGUUAAUAGGUUCGAGGUGGAAGCAUGGUGACAUGUGGAGCUGACGAAUACUAAUCGAUCGAAGACUUAAUCAA